CACUGGUCCUGAUGCUGAGCUGACAUCAGAGAGAGCCGCUUAAGAAGGAAAAUAGACUUGGUGACCUGCUGAAAGGCUGAGGCUCCUGACCAAACCUGCCCUGAAGCUCCCGGUGUGGACAUCAUGACGACGUGCGAAGGCUUCACAGAUGUGUCCACAACCAGGCCACGGACGGGGGACGGGCAUGGAGCUGGGACUAGGACGGGGGCUGGGACUGGCUGU